rnacentral:rRNA from 1 species
UGGGGAAUAUUGCACAAUGGGGGAAACCCUGAUGCAGCCAUGCCGCGUGUGUGAAGAAGGCCUUCGGGUUGUAAAGCACUUUCAGGUGUGAGGAAAGUUAAACAGUUAAUACCUGUUUGAUGUGACGUUAACACCAGAAGAAGCACCGGUUAACUCCGUGCCAGCAGCCGCGGUAAUACGGAGGGUGCGAGCGUUAAUCGGAAUUACUGGGCGUAAAGCGCACGCAGGCGGUUUGAUAAGCUAGAUGAGAAAGCCCCGGGCUCAACCUGGGAUGGUCAUUUAGAACUGGCAGACUAGAGUCUUGGAGAGGGUAGUGGAAUUCCAGGUGUAGCGGUGAAAUGCGUAGAUAUCUGGAGGAACAUCAGUGGCGAAGGCGACUCCCUGGCCAAAGACUGAGGCUCAUGUGCUAAAGUGUGGGUAGCGAACAGGAUUAGAUACCCGCGUAGUCC